CUCUCUUAAUCCAACCACACACUUGAUUCUUCCCUUUCUUAAUCCCCGGCGCACCAACAUUAAUUUCAUUCUAGCAAUGUUGUCGUUUUCAACCAAAAAGUUUCAGAGGUACUAUGCUUCUUCUAUCCCUCUUUUUCAACUUCCAAACCCUAAUUUCAUUCGUUCUUCAACAAUGUUAUACUCUCAAUUACACAACCAACAAGAAGAUCAUGAUAAUCUUGUUUCUUCAUUCAAUCAAUUACUACUUCAGAAUCCAACUCCACCCAUCUUCCAUUUUGGUAAGAUUUUAGGUUCUCUUGUUAAGUCCAAUCAUUACUACACUGUUGUUUCACUUCAUCGUCAGAUGGAACUAAAUGGAAUUGCUUCAAAUUUAGUCACUUUCAACAUCUUGAUCAAUUGUUUUUCUCAAUUGGGUCUAAACUCUCUUUCCUUUUCUGUAUUUGCCAACAUUCUCAAAAAGGGUUAUGACCCAAAUGCCAUAACUUUGAAUACACUCAUCAAGGGUCUUUGUCUCAAAGGUCAGAUCCAUAGAGCAUUGAACUUUCAUGACAACGUGGUAGCACAGGGAUUUCAGUUGAACCAAGUUAGUUACGGGACCUUAAUCAAUGGGUUAUGUAAAGUAGGAGAAACAAGUGCAGCCUUGCAGUUGCUGAGACGAGUUGAUGGGAAACUGGUUCGACCUGAUGUGGUAAUGUACACUGCAAUUAUUGACAGUAUGUGUAAAGAUAAACUUGUUGCCGAUGCUUUUGAUUUAUAUUCUGAAAUGGUUACUAAGAGAAUUUCUCCUGAUGUUUUCACUUACACCGCUUUAAUUAGUGGCUUUUGCAUUGUCGGUAAAUUGAAAGAAGCAAUUGGGCUUUUUAAUAAAAUGGUUUUGGAGAACAUCAACCCGAAUGCGUAUACGUUUAAUAUAUUGGUUGAUGCAUUUUGUAAGGAAGGAAAAGUGAAAGAAGCUAAUAAUGUGUUUGCUAUGAUGAUCAGAAAAGGUGUUAAACCUAAUGUUGUUACUUAUAACUCUUUAAUGGAUGGAUAUUGCUUAGUUAAAGAAAUGAAAAAGGCCAAGAGUAUAUUCAAUAUCAUGGCCCAAAGUGGAGUGACUCCUGAAGUUCGGAGCUAUAGUAUUAUGAUUAAUGGAUUUUGUAAGGUUAAAAUGGUGGAUGAAGCCUUAAUUCUCUUCAAAGAAAUGCGUUGUAGAAACAUUAUUCCUGAUGUGAUAGCUUACAGUUCCCUUAUUGAUGGUUUGGGCAAAUCAGGGAGAAUCUCUCAUGCUUUGAAGCUUGUUGAUGAGAUGCAUGAUAGAGGUCAACCACCUAAUAUAGUUACCUACAAUUCUAUAUUUGAUGCUUUAUGCAAAACCCAUCAUGUUGAAAAGGCGAUUGCAUUAUUAACAAAAGUUAAGGACGAGGGCAUUCAACCAAAUAUGAACACAUAUACUAUUCUUAUUCACGGAUUGUGUAAAGUUGGAAGAGUAGAGGACGCGAGAAAUGUUUUUGUAGAUCUUUCAGUCAAAGGCUACAAUCUAAGUGUUUAUACAUAUACUGUUAUGAUCCAAGGGUUUUGCAUCAAGGGCUUGUUUGAUGAAGCGUUGGCCUUGCUAUCAAAAAUGAAAGACAAUAGUUGCCUUCCAGACGCUGCAACUUAUGAAAUAAUUAUCCGUUCUCUGUUUAAUAAAGGUGAAAAUGAUAUGGCAGAGAAACUUCUACGUGAAAUUAUCGCAAAAGGUCUAUUGUAAGAUUGAAACUAGGUAAGAUGGUUAUUUUGUUAUUGUUAUUUCUUUUGUUAAGUGUGUUCAUACUUCAAAGAUUGGGAUAUUGGUGAGUUUGAAAUUUGUGGGGAAGUGAAUGAAUAUAUUUGUUACGGUUGUCUUGGAAAUAUUGUUGGGUUAGGAGUUUACAAAUUGUACUACACUUGCUCCAGCCAAGUAAUAAAGUCAAUUAUUGUCAAUUAAAGUGUUUCUUUAGACUGUGGAGUUGUACACACAACAAGCACAAGCAUGACACUUAUAUUGCUGUCCCCGUUAGAGAUGGUUUUAUAUCAGGAAUUAAUAAUGGAAUUACGGAGAAACUUCUCGCUACUAUAGAAAGUGAAUUGGGACAGUGCUGGUUUAAGUGAAACUUUGACUUUGUGAUUUCUCAAGUAAGUUAUCAAUAUUUUUUGCCACCUGCUUUGUGUUUUCGACCUUUUGCAUGGUAACUGUAUUGAUCACUUGUCCUUUAUAGCAAUUAGUUUACUGACCCAAAGUUAUAUGGUAUUUUGGUUAACUGUGCGAAUUAAAAUCUUUGCAUUGUAUGUAGUUUUUAUAAACUAAUUAUUCUGGUGUUUAUCGGCGUCAAUUUAAUUUACAUCCAGAUAAUGUCUGAACUUAAAAUCCAAUCUAUGUGGACUGGAAUUUGGCAUCUGUUACAAAUCGUUCUUAAUGUUUGUUGAAUCUGAAUCUCAAUAUUUGUUGGAUCCACGAGUCGCUAAAUUUCUUUUUUCUUUGUAAUACUUGUACUUCUAGAACAUGUAUUCCAGGGCCCUUCUCCUUCAUAUACAGCCGUGUCAUUCUGAGAUGAAUGCUGAUUUUGCACCCUCAUGCAUAAAAUUCAUGUCAUGAUUGCACACAUGAACUGCGACGAGAUUGGGGACAAAGUGCAAGUACGAUGUGCCGCCAAGACUUCAGUGUGCCGCCAAGAUCUCUUUUCUAUAACCCAAAUCUUCCACCAACAUAAACAUUAAACGAAUGAAUCCUAAAUAAUAGAGAGAGGGAACAUUUCUCUCUGUACAUAGGUUCAGUGUUAUCCUUAACUCAUUCAUUCUACACAAUGUUGUCGUUUUCAACCAAACAGCUUCAGAGGUACUAUGCUUCUUCUCUCCCUCUUUUUCAACUUCCAAACCCUAAUUUCAUUUCUUCUUACAAGUAUUUCACUUGAGAAACUGACAGCAUACAUUAUGAAUGGCACUAAAAAGCUAAGAAAAUAUGUUUCUGCCACUCAAAUUUUAGGACACAUUGCAGUUACUUCGGUGUUUCUUCUCAUUGAACUUAAAAUCCAAUCUAUGUGGACUGGAAUUUGGCAUCUGUUACAAAGCGUUCUUAAUGUUUGUUGAAUCUGAAUCUCAAUAUUUGUUGGAUCCUUGAGUCGCUAAAUUUCUUUUUUCUUUGUAAUACUUGUACUUCUGCAUAAUAAUAAUUUUAAUCUUACAAAACUUAACUAUUUUCGAAUGAUAAACGGAUUUAAUAUCCAAAGACUUGAAUUGUACACAACAGGUACAAGCUUGGGAGCGCAGCUAUGCUCUAGUUUUAAUAGCUCCUCUUAAUCCUGUUAAAUGUAUAGAUGGCUGACAUGUGGCAAAAUUAAUUUUAAUGGCCGAGAUUAAAAGCUUGUAAUUAAGCAUAGAAAGGGUAACGACGAUUUCAUAAAAGAGGAACGCCGCGGUUCUUCUUCUUCUUUUAGUUGUUCCGUUCAAUCUUCACCUCACCACCUUCCUCUCACCGUUGCCGCCAGUCUCCGUUCCAUUAGAUAACAGUAAAACGCAGUAGUGAGUACUUUUCUAUGAGGAAUCAAUUUUGACCUUGAUUUUUUAACUCUUUGUCAAAAAUUAGAAAUCCACUAAAACUAACUAUACUUGUUACAUAUUCAUAAUCGAUUAUUAAUUUAUUGUAGCCUUCAUGUGAUGUUAAAGUGAGCUGAGGAAGUGAGCAAAGUGGAUUGGUUUGUCAUGCGAUUUAGAGACGAUGGCGAGAUUCGGUCCGUUCAUGACAGCGGUUUCGAGGUGAUGUGUGGAAUGGAGGAAGGACGCUGUCUAUGUGACAGCCGAAGUGGUGGGGUGGUGGGCGGCGGCGGCAAGAGGAAGAGACGGUUAGUAGAAGAUGGAACAACGACUACAAGAAGAAGAAGAUGACGCACGAGUGUUCCUUUGUCUGCGUUUCUUACUUCUUCUGUUAUAAGACUUAAUAUAAGCUUUUAAUCUCAGCCAUUAAAAUUAAUUUUGCCACAUGUCAGCCAUCUAUACACUUAACAGGAAUAAAAGGAGCUAUUAAAACUGGAGCAUAGCUGCGCUCCAAGCUUGGAUCUAUAUAAUUACUGAUUUUGCAUUUUUGGAUGAGUAUUUAUCUUUAAUUUUGGUUUAUAUUAUUUAUGGAACAUGUAUUUAUUGUACAAGCUUAGAUGUAUCCUAUUCUAGAACAUGUAUUCCAGGGCCCUUCUGCUUCAUAUACAGCCGUGUCAUUCUGAGAUGAAUGCUGAUUUUGCACCCUCAUGCAUAAAAUUCAUGUCAUGGUUGCACACAUUAACUACGACGAGAUUGGGGACAAAGUGCAAGUACGAUGUGCCGCCAAGACUUCUGUGUGCAACAAACCUGCGGUCAAGACCUUCAUCUUGUUGAACCUGAGUGUGACGAAAGUACUGUGGUCUGAAAUCUGAGUUGUGAGUUUGAUAUUUGAUUCUGUGUUCUUCCAUUUAUUCAACUGACUUCUUGAAGUUGUUGAUAUUACGAGUUUGUUAUUCUUGAUGUGAUUUCGUGAUCUGAGUAUGAUGUUCUGAAAAGACAAUAUGAAACUAUCAACUUUGAUAAUACAAAAGUUUGUACUGCA